AUGAUUCAUGUCGAUUUACCAAUGAUUUAACACGAAAACAAUAACUAUAAACACCUUCACUUUUACUGGGCUGGUACCAUAACAUGUAAGCCCAACAAACUUGCAAAAGUUGGACCAUCAUGCAAAGCUCCGAACCUGUAUAAACCAUAAGUCCAUAAAUAAAGGGAAAGAGGUUUGUUGAAGGAAUAGGAAAAAAAUUACGACAGAGUAAACUCGAUCUUCUAGAUCGUCGUUCUUCGAGCGUUUCAACCGGGACGAAGAUCGAUUGAAGGGGAACGCAGGAUGUUGAUGAUGACGUUUUGGGGUUAGCCAAAAUUAAUUUGUGUAAUUUAACACAAAUCUAUGGAAGAUAAUUGAAGAAAUUGACGAUUUUGGGAGCCCUUUUUUUAUGUCAUUGGUGAUAUUGAUUACGGUUGAAGCGGAGGCACGUUUAAAAAUUGUGAAUGUGAAUUACAUAUGUUUGAUAAAGGCAGGUUGGUUGGGUAUAUAAUUAUGUUGUUUUUUAAGUUUACUGAGGAGAAACGUCUAUCCAUUGGAGAAGAGAUGUACCAGUUCAGGAGAAAGGUGUAUCCAUUCGAGGAAAAGAUGUACCGGUUUGGAUGAGGUGCAUGUAAUGGAUAUUAGAAUUCUAGAGAUUUUUUUUAAAACGUCGGUUGAAUGUAGGAGGUGCCCGUAUUUAAUAUAAAUAUAAAUUGAAAGGGUGUGAGUAAAAUAAACUAAAGGAUGUAACUUUUAAACAAAAUGAAACAUAACCCAAGUUACUAAUUGUAUAAGGGUAUAAUGUUGCAAGUUAUGUUCUU
rnacentral:lncRNA from 1 species